rnacentral:lncRNA from 1 species
AUAGCAGGAUGCGGCCUUGUGGGUGGUAGCUGGUAUGUUGGUGGAAACUCCAUGCUUCCAUGGAACCAGCUGUAGAGGAGUGGUGAUGCAAUGAGCAUCCUGGAAGUUUAGUUGUCAUUUGUCACCUUUUGGAUAAUGGAGUAGAUUUCUGAAGCUAUUUCUCCUUGUUUGGUGUUCUGCCUGCAAUUUGGACAAGUGGACUUCAGAUUAUGUCUUCGUAGACUGAAAGGCUUGGAGAAGCCUGAAGUGCUCUGAAGGCUGCCAACAAAAUGUCAAGUGAGUCCACUGACAAAAAGGAAGAGAAACCUUGGAAAAACAUUAUUGCUUAUGUUCCAUCUGAAUCUGAGCAGCUGACCUGAGGAAGGAGCAAUCUUAUUCAAGGGCUUACCCUAUUCCUCAUAUACUCUUGGAAGCAGCUCUAUCACCUUAUUGGAAUGACUUAUGGUGGAAAGCAUGCUCAGACCUGUCAUUUCAAGCUUCUCCUCCCUUUAUGUGCUCUAAUAUCUCAUUGGCCAAAGCAAUAACAUCAAAUUGAAGGGCAAGGAACUUCUCAAAAGGAGGUAGGAAUGAAAAUUAGCCAAACAGAUAUCUUACCUACUAUAGUGGGUAAACUAGAACAUUUCAUUAGAAGAAAGGGCAGUGUACUCAUUGUCAGAUUCUUAUAACAAAAAUGAUCAUGUACUAUAUAAAAUACAAAAAUAUCCAAAUUGACUUAUCAGCUAAAGUGCUGAUUGCAAAUUGCACCCCCAUCAAUGUGAUACAGACUUAGUUGAACAUAGUGGGACUAACAACUAAAUUCGAGCCAUCCAAACAUGGUAAUGCCAUAAGCCUGUACUGGUAUCACACAGAGAAUUUCUUUUUAAAUGACUGUCAGCUGUCACAAUUUUGUAGGUAAACAGAGUUGUCAUAACAUAUUCUUACAAAACUAAGGUUAUACCCAUGACAACAAAAUCUAUGAUGAGACAGACAAUUUGAAGCAGACAGAAGUAGGGUGCUAUGGCCUGUGGUCCAAAUCUGGCCUACACCUAAUUUUUGCAGAUAAAGUUUUAUUGGAACACGGUCAUGCGCAUACCUUUAUGUGUAGUCUGUAGUGGCUUUUGUGCGGCAAUUGCAGAGAUUAUAGGUCUUACAAAGCCUAAAAUGUUUGUUUUCUGGCCUUUUACAGAAAAUACUUACUGAUUGCCAAUCUAGAAGAACUCCACAGUUAUGAUUUUUGCCUACUUUUGAGCUGCCUCUGAAUAGAACACAGUCUAUAAAACCAGCGAGGUGAAUAGGGUGGCAUAGCAAGGUUUCCUAACCCCCAGCCCAUGAGCCUUCACUGAGGUGUGGAGUUGGAGUCUGCAGAAAGAUUUCUAACGGAAACCCCUGCUAGGGGACCUGCUGGUAGCUUCUCGCUCCCUGUACCUUCUUAGGUUUUGUAGAAAAAAAGUUUCCUGAAGGGAAAAAUGUUCUUGAUACUACUAGCUCUCAAGGAUUAGAAAGGUUUACCUCUGUCACACAUCACAAGCUGAAAACAAGGGAUGCUUAUUUGAAAAUGUGAAAACUCAAUUUGCAGAAGUAGGGACAGGCACAUGCAAUGUUAGGCUGUUCUCUCCCCACUGACAUUGCCAGGAUUAAAAAUAGCCGUUCUGUUUGUCCUUCAGCCCUGUAUUGAACUGGAGCCUCCAAGUUGCAUUCUCCUUAGCUUCAUGCUUAAUGAAGCAUAAUUUGUAUUAAUAGCAGCUAUUAAAUCUAGAGUGCUUAAUAGGAAUUUAGAGCGGAGGGCCUGAGUCACCAAGCUCCUCAAACAUGGUCCCCAGAGAGCUGAGCUCAGGCCUGAACACCAGCAGCAAUGAAUUUUGGGCUUGGUAAGGUGAAGCAGCUGUGUUUAACAGGAGGAGAAAGGGGAAAAAGAAAUGAAGAAACAGGACUCAACACCUCCAAUUCAGCCUGGGGGUUUCUCAAGUUCCAGGUUCUAUAAUACAAGGGGGUCCCUUAUUCGUAUUAUGUCUGCAUUCCGGAAAAGAUUGCUGGGUGCUGGAGAACACAUGGGCUUGACAAUUUUACACACUUGCAUUCAGAUUUAGUGCUGCUGUGUGACCUGGCUUUGGUCUCUUAACCUCUCUGAGCCUCAGUUUUUUUCUUAUCUGAGAAACAAAGAUAAUCAAGUGGUGAUAACAUAAUGGGAGUUACUGUGAAGAUUAAUGGGGGAAAGAUGCAUAGCAAUGAAGAUUGGAUGUUGGGUCUGCAUCUCUCUGUUUUCCCGUCCUUCUCUAAACCCAAUUCUAUUUUAAAUACAAUCUGGAAGGGUUUUCAUAGAAAAUUAUUUUGGGAAGCCAAAUAGCUUCCUUUUAGUCCUGCAUUAGCAAAAAAUGUCUCUGACUUGCUCAAGCUUCCCUUUAAACAUUGUGUUGUUUGUGAUUUGCUUUGUUGUAAAUCCCCUGUUUAAAUGUCUGUCUCCAUCCCGACCCCAUGAGCUCCUUAAUGCUGUGAGAAGAAAAUGUGUUUUUCUCACCUUUCACUCCCAUUGCCUAGGACAGGGUCUGGCACCAGGCAGGUGUGCAGUCAGUUGUGGUUUCUGUCAUCACUGCUAUUUUACAAUUAAGCAAACAGUGUUAAAUACAGGGAGUUUUGUCUGUUUGGGUAUUACCAACUGAUUGCCCUUGUUGAGAGGAUUGACUAGAAAAAUAAAGCUCUUGGGCAGGGCUUGUGCCCUAUAGUUGUUUUUACUAGAAGUAUUCUAUAGUAUUUAUUAGAGCAAGAAAAACUGAGUCUCCUUCAGUGCACAGUCGGUAGCUUAUUCUGACAGUUGCACAUUCAGCAUGAAUGUCCUUUUCUGCACUGGGCUGUGGGUGGGUCCCCAUGGUAGAAGCCUGGCUCCACACAUGGCUUCUGCUCAGCACUUGGGUAGAAGGAGACAGCAGCAGAAUGUGAGCCUUCAAAGAAAUUAUCAAGUUGGGCAGCUUGCCUUUGGAAGGGAGUCCAUUUGUGGCAAGCCAUUACAAUGUCCUAGGUCCAUUUAAAUAUGCCCAGGAAAAAAAAAAUAACUUCAACCAUCCUCUAACAUCCUGAAGCAGGAGAAUUAACAGCCUUGCCUUGAACUCAGGCAGCCAACAGGAGAAUACACACAGUGAAGGCCUGGCUAUGCUAAAUCAAUGUGAGCUGAGCAUCCUCACUGCACGUUACCUGUGCAAAGAAUCAGCCAUGACAGAGGAUGAGAGAAUUUUCCAUUGCUUUAGAGAAUGGUGAGAUGCUUUCCAUUUCAUGUGCAAAUCAACAAGCCUGUAGACUGUCCAUAGGGCAGGAACGUGCAACAUAGGAUGUGAUUUCAGGUGAUCAAUCACUUCUAUGUUGGCUUAACUACAAUGGCCCAGUUACAGAGGGACUCCUUGCUGGGCCAUGUGCAUCAAAAACAAAGUUUCUAUGAUUUCUUACAAAAUUAAACAUACUUUUACUGUAUUAUCUCCCAGUCAUGCUCCUUGGUAUUUACCCAAAGGAAUUGUAAACUUACGUCCACACAAAAACCUGCACAUAGAUCUUUAUAGUAGCUUUAUUCAUAGUUGCCAAAACUUGGAAGCAACCAAGAUUUCCUUCGGUAGGUGAGUGGAUAAAUAGACUGUGGUACAUCCAGAUGAUGGAAUAUUAUUCAGAACUAAAAAUUAAUGUACUGUUAAGCCAUGAAAAGACAUGGAAGAAACUUUAAUGUAUAUUACUAAGUGAAGCCAAUUUUAAAAGGCUACAUACUGUAUGAUUCUAACUAUAUGACAUUCUAAAAAUGGCAAAAUUAUGAAGACAGUAAAAAGAUAAAUAGUUUGGGAGAAAAAAUGAUGAAUAAGCAAAGCAUAGAGGAUUUUGGGGGGCAGUGAAACUACUACUCUUAAGACACUAUAAUGAUGGAUCCAUGUUGCUAUGCAUUUGUUAAAACCCAUAGGAUGUACGACACCUUGGUAUAAACUAUGGGUGGAAAUGAUGUGCCACUCUGGUGGGGAUGUUGAUGAUGGGGGAGGCUCUAGAUGUGUCGGGGAGAGGGUAUGUGGGAAAUCUCUCUACCUUCCAUUCAGUUUUUCCAUGAACCUCAAACUGCUCUAAAAAGUUGAAGUCCUUGAACAAACAAACAAAAAGCCAAAUAAAGUUCCCAGGACAUUUGCUUAUCUGUGGAGUACAAGCUGUUCUGCGGUUUUGCUGACUGACUUGGCAGACUCUGAGGCAGAUCCCUCAGCCCUAGGGAUGUCCAAACCCUUGGGAAAGAAAGGACUCUCUGUAUGUAAAGGAAUAAUCAGAGGCCUAAAGGGUGGCAUGACUUAGGCAGUCACAGAGGCAGGGUGAUAGUAACAUAGCCAGCUCACUAACUCAUCCCUUUCAUUUACUGAGCAAGUCCAAGGUGCCAGCACAGGGCUGAGAUAGGGGGUAGAAAUAUGAAAAAGAGUCCUCACCCACCUGGGAGUGGAUCUCACUGCUAUGUAUCCUUUUAGUGAAAAUAAUAUAAGAUUAUGAAUAUAGGUAAAAUGUGAAUAUUUAUUUAGCAUAAGAAAUUACAUCAAAUUUUACAUUUUUAAAAGCUGAAAAAUUCAGAAAAACAAUCCUCUACUUGAAUUAACUGACAUAUAUCUAUAGUAUUUGUUAUUAUAUUUUGAUAGCAUGGUCUUUGAUCAUCUCUUCAUAUGACAAUGUUUUUGUGAUGUUAUUUUCCAAGAAGGACCAAAAGACGAUUCAGUCCUUUGUCUUGUAUAGUUUAUCAUCAAAAAUUGCUUUAUAUUAUCGAGAGCUGGGAAAAGUUUUUUAUCCUCAUGCAUCGUUACGGUAAUGUCAUGUAAGAGUGAGGAUUGUUGUGAAUGUGGACAAAACCUCUACCUUGGAUAUAUGAAUUCUGCACUCCAUCUCUUCUGCUCUUUUAUUUCUUGUUUGAUAGUGUGUUGAUUCUUAUAACCUUUUUAUCCCUUCUUUUUUUUUUAUCUAUUUCUGUUUUUUGAAUAUCGUGAUUCUUUCCUUAUCUUCCUCUGUGCCAUCAGCUUUUUAAUCCAUGUGACAUAGGAGGUUUGGACAUUGUGAAGCCUUUGCUAGUCUCUCAGUUGACAUUUUUGGCUUCCACUAGGAUGCUUCCUUUCUGUCAUAUUUGAGUUUUGCAGUGAUAAUUCCAAAAAAUAGACAAUAUUAUUCUGAAAUUAAUGCAUACACAAAGGAGUUUAAAUACAUGUUUAACAUAGUACCCUGUGAACUUACUUUUAUACUACAUACAUUGUGUAGCAUUUUUGCCAGGCUGCUUUCUUCAGAUCAUCUUCCUGCAUUGGUGAUGAUUUUGUAUGCUGUUUUAUCUGAAUCUUUCAGGUUUGGGGAAGACAAAUUGUUUCAGAUACACCAAGAUCUGCCCUGAUCCAUAGGGAUGUUUAAAACAUGCUACUUCCCAUAUCGACAUGUUCUCUGUUUGUAGCUUUGUUACAGGUUUGUGCCCUAUAGCACAAGAAUUAUGACACAAUUUAUUUUGUGGUAUUCCUAUAAAAAAUGUUUAAAUGUGUGCCAAAUUUAUAAUUCCAUAUAUGACAUUAUUGAAUAUAUUCCUGAGAGGCAUUUUCAAUCUAGAUGUGGAGGAACAUAGAAGUCUUUGCUAGUAAUUUUAUUCUUCCUGUGAUUUUAAGAAUAUUACACAGAUAAGCUUCCAGCUCUGAGCAUUUUAAACUUUGCUUAUCUUCCACCUCCAGGUGCUGUAGAACAUGUUCAUAUCAUAACACAAUCUCUGGCCCUGCACUUUUGUACAUGAUACUGGAGGGGUCUGUGCAGUAGACAGUAAGAAUAUUCCACGGAAGUUACUGUGAAGCGCUUUUGUAAAAUACCCCCACUGACCCCAAAUUAAACCUAUCCCACAGCCACUUCAGUGUACCCCACGUGAAAGGAAGUGACAUAGAGGGGAAGUCAGGUAGAAAAAGAUGGCAUUUUUAAUGGGUUGUGUUUGAAUCUUUUUGACAAAUCAUAUGACCAUGAGAAGACAUUGUUGACGAUUGUGUUCUCACUGAUUGAGGACAUUGUUGUGGCCCCUCUAAGAGCCCUGGGAAGGAGCUGGGCAAGUGAGGAACCUGAAGCUCGGGCAUCCUCAGAUUCAUGGAGAAUCUACCUCUGACACUGCCCAUAGAAAGCUCAUAGAGUUGGGAGUGAGGAGGAUAAAUAGGCUAGUAGACAGGCAAUGACAGGGUGAUUCUAUCUUUCCACUUUAGGGAAGCACAGGGAAGUGGAACAUCAGAGAGGAGAAGCCUGGCUCAACUUGGCAGAGAAGGCAUCUUCAGAGAAGGAGUGCCCACACUGACACCUGAAUGAUGACUAGUGCUUAACCAGAUGAACUGGAUGAGAAAGGCAUUUCAGACACAGGGCAUAGCAUGAACAAGGGUCCAGAGAUGAGGGUGCAAGCAGAGUCCAGGGUGCACAGGGAGUUCAGUACAGCUGGAGCUCAGAUGCUAGGGAGAGGAGUAGGGAGAAAAGAGGCUCCAUUACAAAAAUGUAGGCAUGAGAUCAAAGGGAACCUGGAGUACUAUGCUAAGGGGACUCAAUCCUAGGUGAUGGGGAGGCAUUGAAGGAUUUAGGUGAGAUUGGCAUUUAGGAAGCUCACUUGAAGCAGUGUUGAAUGGGUAGGAGUGGGGUAAGACUGGAGCUGGUGCAGCAAUAUGGGUGAGUGUAGCUGUGUGUGAAAAAAGGUCCGAGUUUAAUGGGAAAACUAAGGAGUGUGGGGUGGGAGGAAACUUGAUGAGAGAGGAUUUCCAAGGAUAAUAUUCUAGAUGUGUGGGUUGAUGACAAUGCUGAGAGCAGGGACAGAGGAAGAGAAGCAGGCUUGCUGGGGGGAAAUGAUGAACUUCUUGAGGUUCUUACCAGACACCUAAGUGGAGAUGCCCUUUGGGUGCCACAUGCGCCCACACUGCUGAUAAGGGAUCUGCAUAGUGGGGGGAGAUUUGGAAGUCAAUGAAGCCACAGAUAGGGAUGAGCUUUUCAAAGAAGAGUGUGUGGAGUGAAAGGGUUAGGGACAUAGAACCAAACCCUGAGACCCACUCCACUGAAGGCAAA